UACGGGGGGGGCAAGCGUUGUUCGGAAUUACUGGGCGUAAAGGCUCGUAGGCGGCCAACUAAGUCGGAUGUGAAAUCCCCAGGCUCAACUUGGGAACUGCAUCCGAUACUGGAAGGCUUGAAUCCGGGAGAGGGAUGCGGAAUUCCAGGUGUAGCGGUGAAAUGCGUAGAUAUCUGGAGGAACACCGGUGGCGAAGGCGGCAUCCUGGACCGGCAUUGACGCUGAGGCGCGAAAGCCAGGGGAGCAAACGGG
rnacentral:rRNA from 1 species